rfam:Myotis brandtii contig153799, whole genome shotgun sequence.
GGUGGUUGUCAGGUGACGCACCCUGAUGCACCCCGGAAUCGGGCUCCUUCCUCUCUGGUUCUGGGUGCUUCACCCGAGAACCGCA